rnacentral:rRNA from 1 species
UACGGAGGGUGCAAGCGUUGUCCGGAUUUAUUGGGUUUAAAGGGUGCGUAGGCGGCUAAUUAAGUCAGCGGUGAAAUUCCAGAGCUCAACUCUGUGAACUGCCAUUGAUACUGGUUGGCUUGAGUACAGAUGAGGUAGGCGGAAUUGACAGUGUAGCGGUGAAAUGCGUAGAUAUCAGGAGGAACACCGGUGGUGUAGACGGCUAUCUGGACCGUAACUGACGCUGAGACACGAAAGCGUGGGUAGCAAACAGG